rnacentral:rRNA from 1 species
UGAGGGAGUGGCAGACGGGUGAGUAACACGUGGGAAUCUACCUAUCGGUAAGGAACAACACAUAGAAAUGUGUGCUAAUACCUUAUACGUCCUAAGGGAGAAAGAUUUAUCGCCGAUAGAUGAGCCCGCGCUUGAUUAGCUAGUUGGUGAGGUAAAAGCUCACCAAGGCGACGAUCAAUAGCUGGUCUGAGAGGAUGAUCAGCCACACUGGGACUGAGACACGGCCCAGACUCCUACGGGAGGCAGCAGUGGGGAAUAUUGGACAAUGGGCGAAAGCCUGAUCCAGCCAUGCCGCGUGAGUGAUGAAGGCCCUAGGGUUGUAAAGCUCUUUCAACGGUGAAGAUAAUGACGGUAACCGUACAAGAAGCCCCGGCUAACUUCGUGCCAGCAGCCGCGGUAAUACGAAGGGGGCAAGCGUUGUUCGGAAUAACUGGGCGUAAAGCGCACGUAGGCGGACUUGAAAGUUAGGGGUGAAAUCCCGAGGCUUAACCUCGGAACUGCCUCUAAAACUACAAGCCUAGAGAUCGAGAGAGGUGAGUAGAAUUCCGAGUGUAGAGGUGAAAUUCGUAGAUAUUCGGAGGAAUACCAGUGGCGAAGGCGGCUCACUGGCUCGAUACUGACGCUGAGGUGCGAAAGUGUGGGGAGCAAACAGGAUUAGAUACCCUGGUAGUCCACACCGUAAACGAUGGAAGCUAGCCGUUAGGAUGUAUGCAUCUUAGUGGCGCAGCUAACGCAAUAAGCUUCCCGCCUGGGGAGUACGAUCGCAAGGU